AGAGUUUGAUCCUGGCUCAGAGCGAACGCUGGCGGCAGGCUUAACACAUGCAAGUCGAAGGUGAACCCGGACUUCGGUCCGGUGGAAACUGGCGCACGGGUGAGUAACGCGUGGGGAUAUGCCCAAAGGUACGGAAUAACUGCUGGAAACGGCAGCUAAUACCGUAUGCUCCCUCAGGGGAAAAGCUUCGGCGCCCUUGGAUUAUCCCGCGUCCGAUUAGCUUGUUGGUAAGGUAACGGCUCACCAAGGCUCCGAUCGGUAGCUGGUCUGAGAGGACGAUCAGCCACACUGGGACUGAGACACGGCCCAGACUCCUACGGGAGGCAGCAGUGGGGAAUAUUGGACAAUGGGGGCAACCCUGAUCCAGCCAUGCCGCGUGAGUGAAGAAGGCCUUAGGGUUGUAAAGCUCUUUCAGCGGGGAAGGUGAUGACGGUACCCGCAGAAGAAGCCCCGGCUAACUCCGUGCCAGCAGCCGCGGUAAUACGGAGGGGGCUAGCGUUGCUCGGAAUUACUGGGCGUAAAGGGCGCGUAGGCGGACUUUUUAGUCAGGCGUGAAAGCCCCGGGCUCAACCCGGGAACUGCGUUUGAUACUGGAAGUCUAGAGAUCUGGAGAGGGUGGUGGAAUUCCCAGUGUAGAGGUGAAAUUCGUAGAUAUUGGGAAGAACACCGGUGGCGAAGGCGGCCACCUGGCCAGACACUGACGCUAAGGCGCGAAAGCGU
rnacentral:rRNA from 1 species